UACGUAGGGUGCGAGCGUUGUCCGGAAUUACUGGGCGUAAAGAGCUCGUAGGCGGUUUGUCGCGUCGGCCGUGAAAACUUGGGGCUCAACCCCAAGCUUGCGGGCGAUACGGGCAGACUUGAGUACUGCAGGGGAGACUGGAAUUCCUGGUGUAGCGGUGAAAUGCGCAGAUAUCAGGAGGAACACCGGUGGCGAAGGCGGGUCUCUGGGCAGUAACUGACGCUGAGGAGCGAAAGCGUGGGUAGCAAACAGG
rnacentral:rRNA from 1 species